CCAGACUCCUACGGGAGGCAGCAGUGGGGAAUAUUGGGCAAUGGGCGCAAGCCUGACCCAGCAACGCCGCGUGAAGGAAGAAGGCUUUCGGGUUGUAAACUUCUUUUCUGAGGGACGAAGAAAGUGACGGUACCUCAGGAAUAAGCCACGGCUAACUACGUGCCAGCAGCCGCGGUAAUACGUAGGUGGCAAGCGUUAUCCGGAUUUAUUGGGUGUAAAGGGCGUGUAGGCGGUCCGGAAAGUCAGCGGUAAAAGCCGGGGGCUCAACCCCGGCGAGCCGUUGAAACUGUCGGACUAGAGACGGCGAGAGGUACGCGGAAUGCGCGGUGUAGCGGUGAAAUGCAUAGAUAUCGCGCAGAACUCCGAUUGCGAAGGCAGCGUACCGGCGCCGGACUGACGCUGAGGCACGAAAGCGUGGGUAUCGAACAGGAUUAGAUACCCCUGUAA
rnacentral:rRNA from 1 species